CAGGAUGAACGCUAGCUACAGGCUUAACACAUGCAAGUCGAGGGGCAUCGGGAAGUUAGCUUGCUAACUUGCCGGCGACCGGCGCACGGGUGAGUAACGCGUAUCCAACCUACCCCGCGGUCAGGGAUAGCCCGGCGAAAGUCGGAUUAAUACCUGAUGCAGUCAGAAGAGGGCAUCUGAUUUUGACGAAAGAUUGAUCGCUGCGGGAUGGGGAUGCGUAGGAUUAGGCAGGCGGCGGGGCAACGGCCCACCGCGCCGACGAUCCUUAGGGGUUCUGAGAGGAAGGUCCCCCACACUGGUACUGAGACACGGACCAGACUCCUACGGGAGGCAGCAGUGAGGAAUAUUGGUCAAUGGGCGCUAGCCUGAACCAGCCCAAGUAGCGUGCAGGACGACGGCCCUACGGGUUGUAAACUGCUUUUAUGCGGGGAUAAAGUGAGGGACGUGUCCCUUUUUGUAGGUACCGCAUGAAUAAGGACCGGCUAAUUCCGUGCCAGCCGCGGC
rnacentral:rRNA from 1 species